rnacentral:lncRNA from 10 species
CCGAAGUGCUAGGAUUACAGGCAUUAACUUUUAACCAACUGUAUUUCUUUUACUGUGAACUAUCUCUUCCAGUCAUUUCAUGGGUUGUAUUUUAAGAUCAAAGCUGAGCACCAUGAGAACACCAUUGUACCAGCUUGUUUGUCCAAAAGACAACAGAACUUCAAAGCCAUGAGGUGCCUGCCUUUCUUCCAAUCAAGUGGACUCUACUAGUCAUCCGUAGAGAUGCACAAGCUUGGAGCAUUUCCUUGUAUUUAAGCUGAGGAAAGGGAGAAUAUCCCCAGCCCCAUUUCAAGCUGUCAUCAUGAACAGUAGUGGAGGAGUGGAUUUGCCAAACAGCUGUCAGAGCUGACACCAGGCAGUGUCAGCAGUGGGGCUGGAGCUAACCCUUGGUGGAGCGACUUUCCUCUUGCUCAAUUCCUGGGUUCCCUCCUACUGUUCUGAACCAAUGACGCAGAUGGCAAGUGAAACAGAUCAGCAAAGAGGCCCAAAGAAGCAAAGAAACUUGCCCAGGAUCACACAAAUCAGCAGGAGGAGCUGGGAUUUGCACACAUUUUCUUAGGGCCAUGAAAGAGCCAACCUAGAGGUCAAGCUAGCAUGCUAAGUGUGACAGUGAAGAAUGGUGGAAAGAAUAUGACUUGGUGAUGCUGGUUUGAACACCGAAUUAGUCCCCUUGGGAACACUCCAUCAUACAUCCCAUGUCAGGGAAAUGCUGCUUUGGAAAAUACUCCCAGGGUUCUCACUUGCACCAAGUAAUAAAACUCUUACUGAUGAUUGAUGAAAACCUGUGUUCUCGUGGAGAGUCUUUUGUUACUUGCCAGAAAGCUUGGCCCACCAGCCCCAAGAUAGCAAGCUUGGUUGAAUCUUCCUCAAGGAGAAACACUUCCCCUCCAUGUUCUGAUCUGCAGAGUGGUGGAUGCUGCUUUUCUGCAGGCACAAUGGACAGAAAUGUAGGAUACUUGAUGAGCACCUCUUGAUAAAAGUGAGAGCUCCACUUGGAAAACAGAGUGAUGAGGAGGAUUCAGAUCUGCUUACUCUGAUCC